GGCCGCGAUGGCGCCCCUUUUUUUUCAGCACGGGAGGAUGUGCUAAACAUAUCGAACACCUCUCAGCUAAAAUGCCACGUUAAAAAAAAAACCCAAAACAUUCACUCUUUUGAGUGAAAGUGAUUUUUCAGUGAGCAAGGUGUUCGAUGAGCCUGACGUCAUCAGCCGGCGACAGCUUUUGCAUCAUGGCUUAAGAGGGUGGUGGAGAACCAGUGGCGUUUUGGCCCGGGAACGAUCAUGAGCAGCAUGAGUCGAGAUGAAGAGGCCAAAGUUGACUGUCCUGUCCCUCACAUGCAUGCUCCUUUACCUGCUCUUUCUCAAGCAUCAUUACGACCACAGAGCUCACAAACUCCCCCCACACCCUCGCCCAGGGGGACACAACUUCCACUAUAGCGUCAUGUUUGAUGCUGGCAGCACCGGCACCAGGGUCCAUGUUUUCAAAUUCCAGUCCAGUCACCAAGGUGCAGCAGUCCCCCAUCUGGAACAUGAGACCUACAGGGCCAUCAAACCUGGUCUGUCUGCCUAUGCUGGUGAGCCGCUGAAGUGUGUCCCCGGGAUUGAGCAGCUGCUGGAGGUGGCGAAGCUCAGUGUUCCAUCCUCUCAAUGGAAUGUGACUCCAGUGGCUCUGAAGGCCACAGCUGGACUCAGGCUGCUCCCUGGAGACAAGGCAGCCCGACUGCUGGACACCGUGAGGACCCUGUUUCAAGUGUCUCCGUUCCUGUCCAAGUCAGACUGCGUGUCGAUGAUGGACGGCACCGAUGAAGGGAUUUCAGCUUGGAUCACUGUCAACUUCCUGACUGGCGGUCUCCAGCGUCAGGGCUCUCCCACUGUGGGGAUGCUGGACCUUGGUGGGGGAUCAACUCAGAUCGCCUUCUGCCCUCAGGAUGAGAAAACGAUCCAGUCGUCGCCAGUGGACUUCAUCACGUCCCUCCAGAUGUUCAACCAAACACACAACCUCUACACACACAGUUAUCUGGGUCUCGGUCUGAUGUCAGCUCGACUCUCCAUCUUAGGCGGCGUGGAGGCCCCGCCCUUAGGGGGCAGCGUUCAGCUGGUGAGCCCCUGCUUGGCUCCAGAGUACUCGGGCGUCUGGCAGCACAACGACGUCAUCUAUGCUGUGAGGGGACAGAGGUCAGGUAAAGGAGCCAGAGCGGCCUCAGAGCCAGGCCGGGAGCUGAUCUGUGUGUGUGCAGGUGGAUCCAUGUUGGCAGCGUGUCGCAGCAGAGUGGAGAAACUUCUGUACCGGAAGGUGGAAAAAGUGAUGGCGGUGGAAGACAUGGACUUCUACGCCUUCUCCUACUACUAUGACCGCGCCGUCGACCUUGGCGCCAUAGAGGCGCCGUCAGCCGGUGUGGUCACUGUGGCGCAGUACUCCCACGCUGCCGAGAGAGUGUGUGCAGACUCGUACCCUGGUCCUCUUAACCGAGGUCCGUUUCUGUGUCUGGACCUGCUCUACAUCUCCGUCCUGCUGCAGGAGCUGGGCUUCCCUCCUCACAAGCAGCUCAAGGUCACAACCUGGACCACGAUCCGAGAGGAAAGUCGGCAUGAUUUGAAUGAAUGUCUUGUUCUCCAGCUGGCUAGAACCAUCAAUCACAUGGAGACCAGCUGGGCCCUGGGAGCAACAGUCCACUACCUCCAGUAUCUCAGGUCCAACUAGGUGCUGCGCUCUGUGAACCGGCUGAUCGCAGGUCCCUGAAGCAGGACGUGUCUGAUAAUACAGCGGGCUGUCUGAUCUCUGCCCAACAGGACAUGACACGUGCAAGUGCUCCACUAGCAGAACCUCAACCACGUCAGCAGGUGGAGCCACAAGUGUUUAAUCAGACAGUUCAGUCCAACAAUCUAGAAAGGGUGGGAACAGAGGAGUUUGCUUUCACACACACACACACGUCAUCGCUGGCAGGACCUCAUGAAGAAACCUUGUCCUCUCAAGCUUCUGCCUUCUGGUGUGUCCCAGCGCAACAAUGACAUGUGACGUGAUGCAACUCGACCAGUCACUAGUGAUGGAAGCCAUAAUCCCCGCCGCUCCAGAGGACCAGCACUGAUGUUCAGCCCAGUUGGGAGGAAGAAAGCUGCCACAACAAUUGGCUUCCAUUUAUAAAUAGCAGACAGUAUUAAACGUUUACGGUAAAAAUAGCCUCCUCCAAUGACCCUAAUACUCAACUGCAAACUGGCUUUUGCUACCGCCUGUCCGUAAACACAUUCAUGACUCGAUGACUACCGCAGCAGUCGAGCUCACUGGAAUGUCAACAGGAAGUGGACGCUGCGCCUCAAUCCACCGGAGUCCAGCUUGUGUUCAGGGGCCUGGAGGCGGAGCUGCGCCCCAAAACUCCCUGGAAGAAGCGUAGUGUCACAGAAGAGGAGGCGGAGGGGCGGCUCCAGGGGCCGGUACCUCAGAAUGCGCGGCAGCUCCGGGCUCCUGUAGAUGUAUUUGUGCCUGUAGUUCCGACUGGCAGGGAAGGGAACAAACUGGACUUUGUGACCGCUCAGACUCUGGGACUGGGUGGCCUGGUGGUACAGCUGAGGAAAGAGAGCACAGAUGUGGAGGCAGCAACUGUGGGUCGCUCACCACAGAACAGAACAGAACUGGGCUGAAAGGUGAUAAGAGUGAAGAGAAGGGAACAAAAAUACACAGGAAGGAAACGGACAAGGGCAAAGUUGAGUUCAGAAGUGAAGAAGGAGCGAAGCAAAGCUGAGGGCAUGAACACGAGCACGGAAUCAUCCAGAGACACCCGCUCUUUCUGCUGUCCCACUGAGCUCAUUACACUCGCAAUACGUGAGCAAGCAUGUGUGUGUGCGCGCGGGGAGAGGAGCGGAUCUAACCUUUUGACCCAGAUGAAACGGAACCACUGCAUCAUCUUCUGCAUGGAGGAUCAGCACCGGGCAGGAGAUGUGGUGAACGCUGCACCCACACAACAAAGCUGCAGCUCCACUUUUGUCCACGAGAUGUCAGUGAAGUUCAGACGACAACGGCCACCUACUUCUCAUCGCUGGCGAAGCGGAUAUUGUUCUCGCUGAUGGCGUCCAAGAAGAACCAGUCAAAGCCAGGCAGGAAGCGGUAGAUCUGAGGAGCACGCUGGAAUCAGUGGGUGAGCGGGUUCAUCUGUGUGUGUGUGGGCUCCAGUCUGGUUCAGAGUACCGGUUCAGGUGAGCCACGUCUUUUGGAGGGUUAGGUUUGGGGUGAAAAGGGUGAUGGCAAUGAGAAACCUCACAAUGUCCCCACAGAGAUAGCGAUCCAAACCCGUGUCUGUGUGCGUUCAUCAGUUAGGUGUGUUGCACGCGUCGAUGAGACGGGCGUCAGUAGCUGAUGUGUGUUUCUAUACGUCACCGUGGAGAAGGGGUGACUCCUGGCCUCCUCCCUGAUGUUGGUGAAGGGCGACUCCAGCACCAGAGCGUCUGGAGGGCUUCCUGCAACACACACGUGCUGUGGGACUGUGACUCAGAGGCAGGUCAGUGGCGCAUUACCUCUCUCACACAGCUGCCGCACCAGGUUGGUGGCCACUCUGUGAACAACAGUCAAGUGAGUGACAUCAGUGGCGCAGCGCCGCCGCCGAGCGCAGCGGUCUCACCCGGUCCCCAGAGAGUGUCCCCAGAUGUACAGCGGUCGCUUCUCCACUCGCUGCCGCAGCCAGGUGUAGACGAAGAGAGAGUCCACCGUCAUGCCCGCCUCAGAGGGCGAGCCGUCCGAGUCGCCCCAUCCUGGGGUCACACACACAGGGUCACCCACACACACACACACACACACACACACACACACACACACACACACACACACACACACACGGCCAAGAGAGGGCCACGAUGUUCUCUCACCUCGGUAGUCGAAGGUAACCACGUGGUAGGCCAGCGAGCUGAGGACCUGCGGGCAGAGGAGCCAGUGUGUCAACACCUCCUGAUCUUCUUGAGAGGACCAGUCUUGGGCGAGCGGCCAGUCCUCAGAAGGUUUGGAGGGUGAAGACGUGAAAUUAACUCAGUUUGGUCCAGGGCCCUGGUCCAAGUGAGCCGUGUGUUAUGGUCAGCUUUAGGGUGGCCGCCAUGAGAGAGCCCCCCCACCCCCCCAGGACAGGCAGACAAACGUGUGCGUGCGUGUGUGUGUGUGUGUGUGUGUGUGUGUGUGUACACCUUGUACAGCUGUACCCGGUGGUCGCCACCUCUGUCACGACGGACGGCAGAUCGGAGGUCCAAACAUGGGAAGCUGCCUCGAGGCUCGGGUCCAGACGCGCAGCGUGUGUGUGCCUCACCUGGUCCCUGCGUUGCCAUGGAGAUAAAGGACGACAGGAUGAGAGGAUCGCAGCAUGGAGUGGAACCACUCGCCGUCCUGGCCGGCAGCAGCUCGCCACAUGUGAUCCGGGACCGUGUGCCUGAAACGCAGCCACCUGAGUAGGAAGCCCCGUCGCCGAGUCUGGAGUGGGCUCUCACCAGACGCCGAUCUUCAGGCCCUCCUCUGGCUCCAGGUAAAAGUUGUGUGUGUGGUUGAGUCCUUGGUCUAGGGGGCGCUGCAGGUCGAUGAAAUAGGGCAGCCUCACUGUGGAGGCAGAAGACAUGACAACACGCGGUUGACCCCACUCAUGACGCAGGAGCGCGGCCGACUUUGACUCAGAUCCACUGAGUUCACUCACCAAAGUUGAGAAAAACUAGUUUGGCCUGGAUGGACGGACACAGUUUGACCAAGACCGGGACGGAUGCGUAGACCAGCAGCAGCCACAGGAGGGCGCUCUUCACCCGGGACGCCAGACCGGACCUGCGAAAAGGAUCGGCGCGCACACAGUUAGUCGCACCAUCCUUGUGGGGACCUCUCCUGGCCUUCGCCCUUGAACACAUGGUACACCUGAACCAGGACUUUCAAGGUUUAACCUUGGGGUCCAGUGACAGGGGCCCCACACUGGACUGGAUUUGCUUCAACACACACACACACGCAGGAAACAUCAUCCAGUUGAUCUAAAUGAUUCAUCAGUCCAAAGGCACAAGAGGAACUUUACACUGCGUGCGCGUGCGCGGCCUCCGGUCGAGCCUUAUCGGCAGCUGUCUCAGGUUGAAAUGUCACCUCAACACGUGACAUCAGGAGCGGGUUUGGAUGCGUUCAAUGGCCUCGCACCCUGAACUAAGGAGUCUGAAACGACCUCCCGCAGUCAACAGUGAGCGGCAGGUGCCACGUGCACGUGUACUUUGACCCCGCAGCAGGAGCGACGCCGCGGCUCGUGCUGCUCGAUUGAAAUCAUCCGGAUCCAAGAACGUCACAUCGGCAACAGAAGGCGAACAAGAUAAGCGACACGUGUGAACCUCUCUCACUCAUUCCUUCAUCUAUCCAUCCAUCACCUGCAGGACGGAGCACACGCCCCCUACAGGUGACGAUGGGAACCACAGCGGAUGAGCGACGAAGCAAUAGAGGUGGUUCUACGGCUUCAUCGCUCGGUCCGUGUCCGGGUCACCAGCCCACCCCGGUCACACCGGUCCAACUGGGCACCACACGCGGCCCGAGAGUCAAACUUGGUGGCUCGACCCCACGCUUUGCCAUUCACAACACCGAGUGGUGAGAAUGACGCGACGAACGUGACAGCGACGCGUCGCUCACCUCCGCACGCGCCUCUUCAUGGUCGGCGCCUCUGUCGAGUCACAACCCACCGCCUCCUCG